UGGGGGUGAAAAAAUGUAUGCAUUUCAAUGCAAUUCAAAAGGCCGAAACAAACAAUCUGUCAAAUCGCAAUGCCUUUAUUCCGUUGUUGCGUCAGUGGUACAAUGCUUUGAAAACAUGCAACCACUUGGAAGCGUGCAUGACAUUGGGAAUGUUCUUCACAGAGACUAACAUAUGACAAUGUGUGGUGUGUUGCGUCGCUUAAACACAAAGUUUCUGGUUAAACAAGAACAUAAAAAGAAACAUUGACAAAAGGUAUAAAACAAACAAAAAAAAAAUGCAUUGAAACACAUUCAUACAAUAGAAAAUGUUUUGGUCGAGCCUCUCCUGCUCUUUUCCGAGGCCGUGGAAUGUGAUUGUCUGACGUUGGAGCAGGAACAGAAAUCAAUGGAAGCUGAUUUAAGA